UACAGAGGUCUCAAGCGUUGUUCGGAUUCAUUGGGCGUAAAGGGUGCGUAGGUGGCGCCAUAAGUCAGAUGUGAAAGCCCCGGGCUUAACCUGGGAACUGCAUUUGAUACUCUGGAGCUUGAGUACGGGAGAGGAUAGUGGAAUUCCCAGUGUAGAGGUGAAAUUCGUAGAUAUUGGGAAGAACACCGGUGGCGAAGGCGGCUAUCUGGACCGUAACUGACGCUGAGGCGCGAAAGCGUGGGGAGCAAACAGG
rnacentral:rRNA from 1 species